AAGUUUGUAGCUCAAUUGGUAGAGUGCACGGUUUGCCUCCUCGAGGCACCGGGAUCGAAAACCGGCAGAUUCA